UACAGAGGGUGCGAGCGUUAAUCGGAAUUACUGGGCGUAAAGCGUGCGUAGACGGUUAUUUAAGUCGGGUGUGAAAGCCCCGGGCUCAACCUGGGAAUUGCAUUCGAGACUGAAUAGCUAGGGUACGGUAGAGGGAAGUGGAAUUUCCGGUGUAGCGGUGAAAUGCGUAGAUAUCGGGAGGAACACCAGUGGCGAAGGCGACUUCCCGGCCUGUUCUUGACGCUGAGGCGCGAAAGCUAGGGGAGCAAACGGG
rnacentral:rRNA from 1 species